CCUACGGGUGGCAGCAGUGGGGGAUAUUGCACAAUGGGGGGAACCCUGAUGCAGCGACGCCGCGUGUGUGAAGACGGUCCUCUGGAUUUUAAACCACUGUCCCCAGGGACGAAGAUGACGGUACCUGGGGAUGAAGCUCCGGCUAUCUACGUGCCAGCAGCCGCGGCAAUACGUAGGGAGCGAGCGUUGUCCGGAAUUACUGGGUGUAAAGUGAGCGUAGGCGGGGAUGCAAGUUGGGUGUCAAAACUACCGGCUCAACUGGUAGACGCACUCAAAACUGGAGCUCUUGAGUGAAGUAGAGGCAGGCGGAAUUCCUGGUGUAGCGGUGAAAUGCGUAGAUAUUAGGAGGAACACCAGUGGCGAAGGCGGCCUGCUGGGCUUUUACUGACGCUGAGGUUCGAAAGUGUGGGGAGCAAACAGGAUUAGAUACCCUUGUAGUC
rnacentral:rRNA from 1 species